AAUUCAAUCUUCAAAAUCUCAGCUCCAUCUUCGGGUCACUCCAUACUCGUCACCUCUACACCACCGUAUGGCCACCUCCAUUCGCCUCCGUCGUCUCGGCGCUAUCGCCGUCGUAGCCGGUGGAGCAUACACAAUUAUACGGAAUCCUUCAUUCUCAUCAAACGACCGCAGCGACAAGUCCACCGCACUCGACACCUUCCGCCGGAAAAUUGCUGAUCCUUUAGUGGAGCAUACACAAUUGUACGGAAUCCUUCAUUCUCAUCAAACGACCGCAGCGACAAGUCCACCGCACUCGACACCUUCCGCCGGAAAAUUGCUGAUCCUUUCGCCGUCGUUCCAUCUCGAGCCACUCAGGAAGCGGCUCUGAUCGGCUCCAUCUUGUCAAAUCCUCUCGACAUCCUUGUUGUCGGUGGCGGUGCCACCGGCUGCGGUGUCG
rnacentral:lncRNA from 1 species